AUUCCAGCUCCAAUAGCGUAUAUUAAAGUUGUUGCGGUUAAAAAGCUCGUAGUUGGAUUUCUGCUGAGGACGACUGGUCCGCCCCCUGGGUGAGCAUCUGGUUCGGCCUGGGCAUCUUCUUGGGGAACGUAUCUGCACUUGAUUGUGUGGUGCGGUAUCCAGGACUUUUACUUUGAGGAAAUUAGAGUGUUUCAAGCAGGCCCGCGCCUUGAAUACAUUAGCAUGGAAUAAUAAGAUAGGACCUCGGUUCUAUUUUGUUGGUUUCUAGAACUGAAGUAAUGAUUGCUAGGGAUAGUUGGGGGUGCUAGUAUUCAGCGGCCAGAGGUGAAAUUCCUGGAUUCGCUGAAGACUAACUUAUGCGAAAGCAUUCACCAAGGAUGUCUUCAUCG
rnacentral:rRNA from 1 species